AUGGGACGCUCUAAUACGGACAUGGUGUGAAGAGUCUACUGAGCUAGUUAGUAGUCCUCCGGCCCCUGAAUGCGGCUAAUCCCAACUGCGGAGCACACAGCUCACAAGCCAGCGAGUAGUGUGUCGUAACGGGCAACUCUGCAGCGGAACCGACUACUUUGGGUGUCCGUGUUUCCUUUUACUCUUAUAUUGGCUGCUUAUGGUGACAAUUAAAGAGUUGUUACCAUAUAGCUAUUGGAUUGGCCAUCCGGUG
rnacentral:other from 15 species